rnacentral:rRNA from 1 species
CAGUAGCCGCGGUAAUACAGAGGGUGCGAGCGUUAAUCGGAUUUACUGGGCGUAAAGCGUGCGUAGGCGGCUUCUUAAGUCGGAUGUGAAAUCCCUGAGCUUAACUUAGGAAUUGAAUUCGAUACUGGGAAGCUAGAGUAUGGGAGAGGAUGGUAGAAUUCCAGGUGUAGCGGUGAAAUGCGUUGAGAUCGGAAAGAACACCAACGGCGAAAGCACUCUGCUGGGCCGACACUGACACUGAGAGACGAAAGCUAGGGGAGCAAAUGGGAUUAGAUACCCCCGUAGUCCCUGUCUCUUAUAC